GACGAACGCUGGCGGCGUGCCUAAUACAUGCAAGUCGAGCGAAUUGACAGGUGCUUGCACCUGUUGGUUAGCGGCGGACGGGUGAGUAACACGUGGGCAACCUGCCUGUAAGACUGGGAUAACCUCGGGAAACCGGAGCUAAUACCGGAUAAUCCCUUUCGUCUCAUGAGGAAAAGCUGAAAGUCGGCUUACGCUGACACUUACAGAUGGGCCCGCGGGGGAUUAGCUAGUUGGUGAGGUAAAGGCUAACCAAGGCGACGAUGCGUAGCCGACCUGAGAGGGUGAUCGGCCACACUGGGACUGAGAAACGGCCCAGACUCCUACGGGAGGCAGCAGUAGGGAAUCUUCCGCAAUGGACGAAAGUCUGACGGAGCGACACCGCGUGGAGGACGAAGGCCUUCGGGUUGUAAACUCCUUUUCCAGGGGAAGAAUAAGGGUAAGAGGAAAUGCUUAUCCGAUGACGGUACUCUGGGAAUAAGCCACGGCUAACUCUGUGCCAGCCGCCGCAGUAAGAC
rnacentral:rRNA from 1 species